rnacentral:rRNA from 1 species
UACGUAGGGUGCGAGCGUUGUCCGGAAUUAUUGGGCGUAAAGAGCGUGUAGGCGGCCUUACAGGUCAGCUGUGAAAACUCGAGGCUCAACCUCGAGACGUCGGUUGAAACCGUAAGGCUAGAGUCCGGAAGAGGAGAGUGGAAGUUCCCGGUGUGAGCGGUGAAAUGACGCAGAUAUCGGGAAGAACACCCGUGGCGAAGGCGGCUCUCUGGGACGGUACUGACGCUGAGACGGCGAAAGCGUGGGGAGCGAACAGG